rnacentral:lncRNA from 1 species
CUCAGUUUCCUCAUCCGGAAAGUGGGGAUAAUGAUCCUACUUCCCAGGGCUGUUUUGUAAUUCUUGAAGCAUUUUACAUGUGUGAGUAGUUCUUACCACAUCUGCUCUCUCUGGGCUUCUCUCUGGAGCAGAUUAUCUCAGGCAGGGAACGGGUGCCACCCUGGUUGCUCAGUUGUAUUUGCCAGCUCGCUGAGGCUUCUGGCAUCGAUCCCAAGCUCCUGCCGGCCUGUCACUGGCACCACUCGGGGGACAGAGGCUUCUUAGGAUGCCAAGCUCGGUCAUAGCACCAGCCUUGCACCACUGACCUCUCAGCCUCUGCUUUUGCUCCUCUCCCAGGCUAAAGCUUUGCUUUGCUCUUUCUCUAGCUACCAUCCUUGGCCCCCUUCUAUUCUCUUCUCCUCCCCUCUCCUCCUCCCUUUGUGCUGCUGUUCCACUGUGUUUUCUGUCUGAGACCCUGGCCACCUCUCCUUGGCCCGAUGGAACCCAGAGCUGGGGAUGGGGAGAAAGGGACCUUGCUGGGGACUGCUUUUUCCUGGGCUGCUGUCCAAAGCUUCGGUCUCUGGACAGUUGUUUCCCGAGGAAGAUGGAAGACUUGAGGGAGCGGACGGUGGAGGAACUGGAGAAGCUGCAGGAUGACCCCGAGGAGAUUGACCGUCUGGUCAUGGAGUCACCCGAGGUAAAACGAGUCGCCGACGUCUGCGUGGACCUUUCUAGGUUUGCUCACCGUGGGAUUAUCUCCAGCUUACAGAUGGGGAAACUGAGGCAGGCAGCGGUGAAAUGACGUGCCCAGGGUCACACAGCCGUCUGAAGCGGUCUGAACUCGGGUCUUCUUGACCCUGAGUCCCAGAGCAAAGGUGACUGUAAUAAUAGCA